UGGACCCUCCCCCCGAACUUAUUUUUCUUGGAUUUCACUUUUUCAAAUUAAACAUUAUUGUUUUCUUCUCAAUAUUGAUUGUCUACUUCGAGCAACCAGGUCAAUGAGAGUUAGGUUAUGUGCAAGUUAUCCUUUCUAUGAGGGUUGGGGAGGAUAGUUGUUGGAUGACUUGGGAAUCCAUUUAAAUGAGAAGUUCAACUUAGCCAUUGAUAAUCACUUGAGUCACCUUUAACCACAAGCUUCUUCCAUCCAAUGCCCUACGGUAAUUCCAAUCCUCAUAGAAUUAAUGUCAACAAUUUAGUUCUUGCUAUGUCACCUAUCCUAGUUAGGUAAGGAUAACUCAUAAAGAUGCUGGUUUAAAUGACUCUAUUGUUCCUUGCCUUGCUUCCAUAUCUUCCUAUUCUAAGAAAAAAAUCUAUAUAACUUCCCAUGUGUUUCUAACUUGAACCUCUCAUUCUCUUAAGCUUUCAAUUGAACAAUUCAUAACACAUGGAAAGAAAACAUUUUUAAGAAAAGGAUUAGCACUUAGCAUCUCUUGAGAGAAAGGGACCAAGGCUUGGUGGAGUGAAGUGAAAUGGAUGGGAGGGAAAAUUGAAUACAAGGCCAGACCAAAGGGUCUUGUCUUGUCUCUAUUUCAUCAUCUCAAUUUCCAUGGUUCAGGUUGUUGUGCCAUCACUAGUGUUCUUUCAAAAUAAGGUUGAUAUUGUUGAUGAUGAGAGCUACUCGAACUUGUAGAAAUGGAGCUCCCUGGUAUGUUCAAAUUUGGGGUUGUUUGUUUUUGAUGCAUCUACUAGUCAAGCUAUAUAAUAGCUUGACUUUACAGGCACACUAAGCAGAGGAGUAACAAGGGGUGACCUGGUUUUGGAGGAACCUGGCCAGGGGAGCUUAUUUUUAAAAUGUACUUUUUCAUGAUAGUGUGGCCAGUGUAGUGUUGUUGUAUUUUUUCCCUCCAUUCCAAACGGGACAUUGAGGUUUUCGUAUUAAUAGAAUGGCUGAUUCAUUUUUUCUGAUUAACUAAUAUAUUAAGCUUCCCCAUUGGAUCUUUUGACCUGAUUUACUUCUUUGGCAAAGCUGCUUAAUUUCUAUAAGUUCCCUGGUGAUGAAAUUCCAGUUAUUUGGGGUUCAACUCUAUCUGCCUUGAAUAGGACAAAUGAAGAAAAAGGCAAGAAGGCUAUACUAAAAUUAAUGGAUGUUGUGGAUGAGUACAUACCUGAUCCCAUUCGCCAAAAUGACAAGCCAUUCCUAAUGCCAAUUGAAGAUGUCUUCUCAAUUCAGUACAUCCAACAUCACUAGGGAGAAAAAGAGGUAGAGUUUGCUCUAAUGGCUUUGAUGGAAAUACCUUCACAGUAUAAAACAAUGAUGAGGCUUGAUGCUUGCUUCAUGUAACUUUAAUUUUUGUAUACAUGUAACUUUAAUUUGUAUACAAGUUGCAAGAAGGGUCGCUUGAUGCUUGAUUCAUUUUGUUUUGUUUUUUGACUUAUUAUAUUUUAUUUUUUGAAUGAAUGCGACAUACUCCAAGUAUUCCAUCACAAGACAAUUACAUGUAAAGUAAAGUUGGAGCUUUUCAAUAUGUGGAAUCAAACUCUCAUGAGCUAUUCA